AUUGAACGCUGGCGGCAGGCUUAACACAUGCAAGUCGAGCGGAGAUGAGGUGCUUGCACCUUAUCUUAGCGGCGGACGGGUGAGUAAUGCUUAGGAAUCUGCCUAUUAGUGGGGGACAACAUUCCGAAAGGAAUGCUAAUACCGCAUACGCCCUACGGGGGAAAGCAGGGGAUCUUCGGACCUUGCGCUAAUAGAUGAGCCUAGGUCGGAUUAGCUAGUUGGUGGGGUAAAGGCCUACCAAGGCGACGAUCUGUAGCGGGUCUGAGAGGAGGAUCCGCCACACUGGGACUGAGACACGGCCCAGACUCCUACGGGAGGCAGCAGUGGGGAAUAUUGGACAAUGGGAGGAAGCCUGAUCCAGCCAUGCCGCGUGUGUGAAGAAGGCCUUUUGGUUGUAAAGCACUUUAAGCGAGGAGGAGGCUACCUGGAUUAAUACUCUAGGAUAGUGGACGUUACUCGCAGAAUAAGCACCGGCUAACUCUGUGCCAGCCGCCGCAGUAAGAC
rnacentral:rRNA from 1 species